rnacentral:rRNA from 1 species
CUAAGUUUGAUGGCGACCGGCGCACGGGUGAGUAACACGUAUCCAACCUGCCGAUGACUCGGGGAUAGCCUUUCGAAAGAAAGAUUAAUACCCGAUGGCAUAGUUCUUCCGCAUGGUAGAACUAUUAAAGAAUUUCGGUCAUCGAUGGGGAUGCGUUCCAUUAGGUUGUUGGCGGGGUAACGGCCCACCAAGCCUUCGAUGGAUAGGGGUUCUGGGAGGAAGGUCCCCCACAUUGGAACUGAGACACGGUCCAA